rnacentral:rRNA from 1 species
GACGAACGCUGGCGGCGUGCUUAACACAUGCAAGUCGAACGGAAAGGCCCUGCUUGCAGGGUACUCGAGUGGCGAACGGGUGAGUAACACGUGGGUGAUCUGCCCUGCACUUCGGGAUAAGCCUGGGAAACUGGGUCUAAUACCGGAUAGGAGCCAUUUUUAGUGUGAUGGUUGGAAAGUUUUUUUCGGUGUAGGAUGAGCUCGCGGCCUAUCAGCUUGUUGGUGGGGUAAUGGCCUACCAAGGCGGCGACGGGUAGCCGGCCUGAGAGGGUGGACGGCCACAUUGGGACUGAGAUUCGGCCCAGACUCCUACGGGAGGCAGCAGUGGGGAAUAUUGCACAAGGGGCGCGAGCCUGAUGCAGCGACGCCGCGGGGGGGAUGACGGCCUUCGGGUUGUAAACUCCUUUCGCUAGGGACGAAGCUUUUUGUGACGGUACCUAGAUAAGAAGCACCGGCUAACUACGUG